GGCCAGUGAGAGUAAGGUUAAUAAAGCGGUCCCAUGAUUUGCUAAGAGAUUCUUCUUCCAGUUGUCUAAAAGAAAUAAUCUCACGCCGAAGUUCCGCCACUUUAGAGAUUGGAAAAUAUUUUAAAAGAAAACAAUUAUGUAACUCCUUCCAAUCUCCAUGAACACUCCCUACUUUGAGUUUAUACCAAUGUCUAGCUUUUCCCGUUAAAGAGAACGAAAAGAGCUUCCAUUUAAGGGUCUCAUCAGACAUGCCUUCAUCAGACACUCUCUUAGGUGUGUGUAUGGGUUUUCCUCACCUUCUCCUGAGAAAGGUUGUUUUUGAACAAAUUCUAUGUAUUCGGGGUCUAUCUCAAAACUAGAUGCUAUGAUAGGCUUUGAAGAUUUUGGUGGUUCGAGAUGUGUGCCCAUUGGUCUAUGAAAUUCAUAGAUAGACAUGUUUGAAUUCAUGAUAGACCAGAGAUCAAGGAUUAGAUAAGAAGAAAGAUUAGCAGAGAUGAGGCAAAGGAUAAAAGGAAAAUAUUUUUUUAUUAUUUUUUUUAGAAAAUGAUUAAGCUAGUUCGUAGUCAACUCAGCAACCGUCUCCCCGGCAACGGCGCCAAAAAUGCUUGUUGACACUUGCUAACACCACUUGAAUACUAGGUUGUCAUCCCCAGUAUGGCACUAGAGUGUACUAUGGUAUUUAUACGCACAUAGAUAAUCCGCAAGCGCACAGAUACCGUUGAAGCUUUUACCCGGUUAAAGGUUUUAUCGUAUCCACAGGAAAACGGGAGAACCAACUACGCUCUAACUUAACCAAGAUAGAUAGAUAGGUGUAAAUAGGAAAGAUGAUAGAAUUGAAUAAGAACAAUAUUAAAGGUAAGAUAACAGUGAGUGAUAAUAUGGGAAUAGAGAGUAGAGCAAUUUAGUAUAUGGGCGAUGGUAGCAGAAUAGAGAGUAUAACUAUGGUUUCUCUACUUCAAAGGGGUAUGUCUAUGUCUGGGACGAACCACGUGAUAAGAGUACACCACAAAGGAUGCUUAUCCUUAGGCCGAUAAACCCUACCCAUCCUGCUAACGAGAGGUGGACUAUAGAGGACCAACGUAACUGUCACCUACGUGGCCUACCACACGAUCCAGCUAGACAGGGGAUAUCCACAAGUAAUCUAGAUCUAAGCACCUCGCUUACACCUAUACUACAACUCUCACCUAUAGCGUCCUAUAGAUUAUAAUACUCAAAAGAGUUAUGAACCAGAACAUACAUAAUUAGUAAUUGCAUAAUGAAUUAGAAGUAGAUUACCAGAGUCAUCCCAUGAGCAAGCUUGAUUAGAGCUUGAUCAUGACGAAGUACAACCGGAGGAAGAACCGACAGGCCGGCCUCUCCUCUAAUCCUCCUUCGCUCUCCAUCUUGCUACUAUCUAGAUCUACUCUAGUUUAGAGAAGAGAGGAGAGCUCUCAUCUCUAAACCCUAGCUUUUGCUCUGUCAAUGAAUAAUGAAUAAUGAUCAAGGGGUGCCUCCUCUAGGGGCCAGGGGGUCUG
rnacentral:lncRNA from 1 species